rnacentral:rRNA from 1 species
UAGUGGCGAACGGGUGAGUAACACGUGGGCAAUCUGCCCUUCACUCUGGGACAAGCCCUGGAAACGGGGUCUAAUACCGGAUAACACCUGCCUGGGCAUCUGGGUGGGUUAAAAGCUCCGGCGGUGAAGGAUGAGCCCGCGGCCUAUCAGCUUGUUGGUGAGGUAGUGGCUCACCAAGGCGACGACGGGUAGCCGGCCUGAGAGGGCGACCGGCCACACUGGGACUGAGACACGGCCCAGACUCCUACGGGAGGCAGCAGUGGGGAAUAUUGCACAAUGGGCGAAAGCCUGAUGCAGCGACGCCGCGUGAGGGAUGACGGCCUUCGGGUUGUAAACCUCUUUCAGCAGGGAAGAAGCGAGAGUGACGGUACCUGCAGAAGAAGCGCCGGCUAACUACGUGCCAGCAGCCGNGGUAAUACGUAGGGCGCAAGCGUUGUCCGGANUUAUUGGGCGUAAAGAGCUCGUAGGCGGCUUGUCACGUCGGGUGUGAAAGCCCGGGGCUUAACCCCGGGUCUGCAUUCGAUACGGGCUAGCUAGAGUGUGGUAGGGGAGA